rnacentral:rRNA from 1 species
UACGUAGGGGGCAAGCGUUGUCCGGAUUUAUUGGGCGUAAAGAGCGUGUAGGCGGCCUUACAGGUCAGCUGUGAAAACUCGAGGCUCAACCUCGAGACGUCGGUUGAAACCGUAAGGCUAGAGUCCGGAAGAGGAGAGUGGAAUUCCCGGUGUAGCGGUGAAAUGCGCAGAUAUCAGGAAGAACACCCGUGGCGAAGGCGGUUCUCUGGGACGGUACUGACGCUGAGACGCGAAAGCGUGGGGAGCGAACAGG